AAUCAAGGCUGAGGUGUGAUGACGAGGCACUACGGUGCUGAAGUAACAAAUGCCCUGCUUCCAGGAAAAGCCUCUAAGCAUCAGGUAACAUCAAAUCGUACCCCAAACCGACACAGGUGGUCAGGUAGAGAAUACCAAGGCGCUUGAGAGAACUCGGGUGAAGGAACUAGGCAAAAUGGUGCCGUAACUUCGGGAGAAGGCACGCUGGUGUGUAGGUGAAGUCCCUGCGGAUGGAGCUGAGACCAGUCGAAGAUACCAGCUGGCUGCAACUGUUUAUUAAAAACACAGCACUGUGCAAACACGAAAGUGGACGUAUACGGUGUGACGCCUGCCCGGUGCCGGAAGGUUAAUUGAUGGGGUUAUCCGUAAGGAGAAGCUCUUGAUCGAAGCCCCGGUAAACGGCGGCCGUAACUAUAACGGUCCUAAGGUAGCGAAAUUCCUUGUCGGGUAAGUUCCGACCUGCACGAAUGGCGUAAUGAUGGCCAGGCUGUCUCCACCCGAGACUCAGUGAAAUUGAACUCGCUGUGAAGAUGCAGUGUACCCGCGGCAAGACGGAAAGACCCCGUGAACCUUUACUAUAGCUUGACACUGAACAUUGAGCCUUGAUGUGUAGGAUAGGUGGGAGGCUUUGAAGCGUGGACGCCAGUCUGCGUGGAGCCAACCUUGAAAUACCACCCUUUAAUGUUUGAUGUUCUAACGUUGGCCCCUGACCGGGGUUGCGGACAGUGUCUGGUGGGUAGUUUGACUGGGGCGGUCUCCUCCCAAAGCGUAACGGAGGAGCACGAAGGUUAGCUAAUCCUGGUCGGACAUCAGGAGGUUAGUGCAAUGGCAUAAGCUAGCUUGACUGCGAGCGUGACGGCGCGAGCAGGUGCGAAAGCAGGUCAUAGUGAUCCGGUGGUUCUGAAUGGAAGGGCCAUCGCUCAACGGAUAAAAGGUACUCCGGGGAUAACAGGCUGAUACCGCCCAAGAGUUCAUAUCGACGGCGGUGUUUGGCACCUCGAUGUCGGCUCAUCACAUCCUGGGGCUGAAGUAGGUCCCAAGGGUAUGGCUGUUCGCCAUUUAAAGUGGUACGCGAGCUGGGUUUAGAACGUCGUGAGACAGUUCGGUCCCUAUCUGCCGUGGGCGCUGGAGAAUUGAGGGGGGCUGCUCCUAGUACGAGAGGACCGGAGUGGACGCAUCACUGGUGUUCGGGUUGUCAUGCCAAUGGCACUGCCCGGUAGCUAAAUGCGGAAGAGAUAAGUGCUGAAAGCAUCUAAGCACGAAACUUGCCCCGAGAUGAGUUCUCCCUGAGACUUUAAGUCUCCUGAAGGAACGUUGAAGACGACGACGUUGAUAGGCCGGGUGUGUAAGCGCAGCGAUGCGUUGAGCUAACCGGUACUAAUGAACCGUGAGGCUUAACC
rnacentral:rRNA from 1 species